rnacentral:rRNA from 1 species
AUUGAACGCUGGCGGCAGGCUUAACACAUGCAAGUCGAGCGGGGUGAUGGUGCUUGCACUAUCACUUAGCGGCGGACGGGUGAGUAAUGCUUAGGAAUCUGCCUAUUAGUGGGGGACAACAUCUCGAAAGGGAUGCUAAUACCGCAUACGUCCUACGGGAGAAAGCAGGGGAUCACUUGUGACCUUGCGCUAAUAGAUGAGCCUAAGUCGGAUUAGCUAGUUGGUGGGGUAAAGGCCUACCAAGGCGACGAUCUGUAGCGGGUCUGAGAGGAUGAUCCGCCACACUGGGACUGAGACACGGCCCGGACUCGUACGGGAGGCAGCAGUGGGGAAUAUUGGACAAUGGGGGGAACCCUGAUCCAGCCAUGCCGCGUGUGUGAAGAAGGCCUUAUGGUUGUAAAGCACUUUAAGCGAGGAGGAGGCUCUUUUGGUUAAUACCCAAGAUGAGUGGACGUUACUCGCAGAAUAAGCACCGGCUAACUCUGUGCCAGCAGCCGCUGUAA